AAAUUAACCAGUGGAACAGCUUGCCUUCAGAAGAUGCAGGUUCUUCUUGAUUGGAGGUUUUUAAGAAAAGACUGGAAAGCCACCUAUCUGAAAUGGUAUAGAGUUUCCAGCUUGAGCAGCAGGUUAGAUUAGAAGAUCAACAAGGUCCCUCCCAGCUCUAUUCUGAUUUAUUGAUUGAUUAUUCAUGCUAUAGGAAUGCUGAGUUCUCCUCCUGCAAUUCCAUGACAGGGAGCUGAGUGACUUGGGAAGAUCACCAGAAAGCUUAGUGAUUUUGAACCAAUAAUCCAGAGUGGGCAACUUCUAUUCCUGCAAUAGGCAUAGUGAAGUCUACUCAUGCAAUACCGAUGACAGCGGCUGAGUGAUUUUGAGCAUAUCACUGGGAAAAGGUAAGUUCCAUUCAUGCAGUGCUGAUGACAGGCUGCUGAGUGAUCUUGGGCAGACCAUCAAGAAGAGGAAAGAUCUACUCCUGCAAGACAGAUGACAGGCGGCUGAGUGACCAUGGGCAGUUCACCUGGAAAAGGUAAAUUCUACUCCUACAACACACACAACAUUAGCCUAUAGACAUUGUUCUAGUUUGCAAUACAAAUGACCAAUGGCUGAUUUACCUGGGAAAGGUGAGUUCUACUCAUAUAGUAUGGAUGACAGGUGGCUGAGUGUUUUUGAGCUGAUCACCAGAAAAAGUUGAGUUCUAUUCCUGCAAUAUUGAUGACAGGAUGCUAGGUGAUUUGGGAAGACAACAAGGAAACAGUGAAUUCUACUCCUAUAAUAUGAAAAAAAGGUGGCUUAAUGACAUUGGACCAAUAGCCCACAGAAACUAACUUCUAUUCAUGCUACGGACAUGGGGAGUUCUACUUCUGCAAACUCUGUGAGAGACAGCGCAAGUGACUGUGGGCAGAUCCCCAGAAAAAGGUUAGUACUCCUAUAAUAAGGAAAAUGGGUGGCUUAGCGGCAUUGGACCAAUAACCAAGAGACGGUAACUUGUAUUCUUACUAUAGGAAUGGUGACUUCUACUUCUGCAAAAUCAAUGACAGUGACUGAGUGACCUUGGGAGACCACCUGGAAGAGGUAAGUUAGGUUCCUGUAAUGCAGAUGACAGGUGGCUGAGUGAGCUUGGAUAUUUCACAUGGAAAAGGUGAGUUGUAUUGCUACAAUGUAUACGAGAUCCAGCCUAUUCACACUGAACCAAUAACCAAGAUUCAGCAAUUUCUCUUUCUUCAACAGGCUUUGUGAGUCCUACUCCUGCCAUUCCAAAGGUAGGCAGCUGAGUGACUUUAGGAAGGUCAUCUGGAAUUGUGUAUUUUCCUCCUGUAAUAUGGAUGACAGAGUGGUCAGUGAGAUUGCACCAAUAAUCAAAAGAUGGUAACUUCCAUAUCUGCUAUAGGUAUUGUCAGUUCUACUUCUGGAUUAUACAUGUCAUACGGUUGACUGAAUUUGGGCUAGCUACCAGAAAAAGGCAUGCUGAGUUCCACUCCUGCAAAAUCCACGAGAGGCAGCUCAAGUGUUUGUGGGAAGAUCCCCCCAAAAGGCAUGAUGAUUUCUACUUCUGCAACAUCAAUUUGACAAUGGGUGAAUGACUUUGGGAGACCACCCGGAAGAGGUAAGUUCUAUUCCUGUAAUGCAGAUGACAGGUGGCUGAGUGAGCUUGGAUAUUUCACAUGUAAAAGGUGUGUUCUAUUGCUACAACUUAUACAAGAUCCAGUCUAUUGACACUGAACCCAUAACCAAGAUUCAGCAAUUUCUCUUUCUUCAACAGGCUUUAUGACUCCUACUCCUGCAAUUUCAAAGGUAGGUGGCUGAGUGACUUUAGAAAGAUCAUCUGGAAUUGUGUGUUUUCCUCCUGCAAUAUGGAUGACAGGGUGGUCAGUGAGAUUGCACCAAUAACCAAAAGAUGAUAACUUCUAUAUCUGCUAUAGGUAUCGUGAGUUCUAUUUAUAUUUCCAAAGUCAUAUGGUUGACUAAAUGUCAGUUAGUUACCAGGAAAAGGUGAGUUCUAUGUUUACAAUUCUGAUGACAGGCUUCUGAGUGACAUUGGGCAGACCAGCAGCAAAAGGUGAGUUCUACGACUACUAUAUGCAAAACAGUUGGUGACAUUAGACCAAUAACAAGACAUGGUAACUUCUAUUCCUGUAAUAGGCAUGGUGAGUUCUACUCCUGCAAAAUCCACGAAAGGCAGCUCAAGUGGUUAUAGGCAGAUCCCCCAAAAGGCAUGAUGAUUUCUACUUCUGCAACAUCCAUGACAAUGGGUGAGUGACCUUGGGAGACCACCCAGAAGAGGUAAGUUCUAUUCCUGUAAUGCAGAUGACAGGUGGCUGAGUGAGCUUGGAUAUUUCACAUGGAAAAGGUGAGUUUUAUUCCUUCAAGAUAAACGGGAUCCAGUCUAUUGACACUGGACCAAUAACCAAGAUUCAGAAAUUUCUCUUUCUUCAUCAGACUUUGUGAGUCCUACUCCUGCAAUUCCAAAGGUAUUUCACAUGGAAAGGGUGAGUUCUAUUCCUACAAGAUACACGAAAGUCAGCCUAUUGACACUGAACCAAUAACCAAGAUUCGGUAAUUUCACUUUCCGCAAUAGGCAUUCUGAGUUUUACUCCUGCAAUUCCAAAGGUAUUUCCCAUGGAAAAGGUGAGUUCUAUUCCUUAAAUAUAUGCGAGAGGUAGUCUAUUGACACUGAACCAUUAAUCAAGAUUCGGCAAUUUCUCUUUCUUCGAUAGGCAUCGUGAGUGGAACAGCUGCAAUUCCAAAGGUAUUUCCCAUGGAAAAGGUGAGUUCUAUUCCUUUAAGAUAUACGAGAUCCAGUCUUUUGACACUGAACGAAUAACAAAGAUUCGGCAAUUUCUCGUUUCUUCUAUAGGCAUCAUGAGUAGCACCUGAGGCUUCUGAGUUACAUGGGGCAGACCAGCAGCAAAAGGCAUGGUGAGUUCCACUCCUGCAAAAUCCACAAGAGGCAGCUCAAAUGGUUGUGGGCAGAUCCCCAAAAAAGGCAUGGUGAGUUCUACUUCUACAAAAAUCAAUGACAAUGGGUGAGUGACCUUGGGAGACCACCCGGAAGAGGUAAGUUCUAUUCCUUUAAUGCAGAUAACAAAUGGCUGAGUGAGCUCGGAUAUUUCACAUGGAAAAGGUGAGUUCUAGUGCUACAACUUAUACAAGAUCCAGUCUAUUGACACUGAACCAAUAACCAAGAUUUGGCAAUUUCUCUUUCUUCUAUAGGCAUCGUGAGUGGCACAGCUGCAAUUCCAAAGAUAUUUCACAUGGAAAAGGCAUCGUGAGUGGCACAGCUGCAAUUCCAAAGAUAUUUCACAUGGAAAAGGUAUAUGAGUUCCAUAUCUGCAAUUCCAAAGGUAUUUCUCACGGAAAAGGUGAGUUCUAUUGCUACAACUUAUACAAGAUCCAGUCUAUUGAUACCGAACCCAUAACCAAAAUUCAGCAAUUUCUCUUUCUUCAUCAGGUUUUGUGAGUCCUACUCCUGCAAUUCCAAAUGUAGGCAACAGAGUGAGUUUAGGAAGAUCACCUGGAAUUGUGUGUUUUCCUCCUGUAAUAUGGAUGUCUGGGGAGAUUAGUGAGAUUGCACCAAUAACCAAAAGAUGAUAGCUUCUAUACCCGCUAUAGGCUUCUGAGUGACAUUGGCUGACCACCAGGAAAAGAUGAGUUCUACUGCUGCAAUAUGCAAAACAGGUGGUUUAUUGACAAUGGACCAAUAACCAAAAACUGGUAACUGCUAUUCCUGCUACAGGUAUGGUGAGUUCUAUUCCUGCUAAAUGUGUGCAUGGUAGCUCAAGUGGUUGUGGGCAGAUCCCCUGAAAAGGUUAGUUCUUCUCCUACAAUAUGCAAAAUAGGUGGCUUAGCGGCAUUGGACCAAUAACCACGAGACCGUAAGUUCUAUUCCUGCUAUAGGCAUGGUGAGUUCUAUUUCCUACCAAAUCAAUGAUAGUUGCUUAAUAACCUUGGGAGACCACCAGGAAGAGGUAAGUUCUAUUCCUGUAAUGUGGAUGAUAAGUGGUUGAGUGAGCUUCGGCAUUUCAACAAGAAAACGUGAUUUCUAUUCCUACAUGAUGCAAGAAACCGAGCUUAUUGCCACUGAACCAAUAACCAAGAUUCCGUAACUUUUAUUCCUGCUGUAGGCAUGGUGGGUUCUACUUUUGUAACAUACAUGGUAACUGGCUGAAUGAUUUGAAGAAAUUACAUGGAGAAGGUGAGUUUUACUGAAUUCGCUUAAUGGGCAACUUGUUAACUUAGAGAUGUUGAGUUUUUUUUUCCUGCAAUAGGUAUGGUUAGUUUUUCUCUUGCAAUAAUCAUGAUAUGCGGUUGAGUGACUUUGGCUGGUCAUUAGUUGAAGGUGAGUGGUACUCCUAUAUUAUGCAUAAGAGGUGGAUUAGUUACUUUGGACCAAUCAGUAGUAGAUUUUGAAUUCUAAUGCUAUAAUAAUUGUGACAGGCAGCUGAAUCUCUUUGUGCAGAUCACCAAUAGAUGGUCCAUUUUACUCCUACAAUACACAGGAUGGCCGGCUGAGUGAAUUUCAGUUAAUCUCCAUACGAUGGAGAUGGUGAGUUCAAAUCCUGCAAUAUAUAUGACCGGCAGCUUUAUGACUUUGGCUAGAUGAUCAGUAAACCAUGAGUUCUACUUCUACAAUACACACAACAGACGACUGAGUGACUUUUGACCAAUAACCAGGAAAUGUCCUAGGAAGGAGGCAAUGGCAAACCACCUCUCAAAAUGUGCAUGGAUUUGUUUAGACAGUAUCUGAGAAUUGGACCUGACUAAAGAGAAGAAAAAAGGAGCAAUGGAUGAUGAAGACGGAAGAGACCCUCCUCAGCACAUCGUGUCCUCUUGGCCUCCAAGCAGACCAACAUCCCCUGUUGAGUGAUCUGAAGUCAGCGAUUGCAGUGGGACCCAAGCCAUUUCAUUGUGUGAUUGCUGAAUGAACCAGAACCACUUGAUGCUGUACUGCAGAAGUCUCCAACCUUUUUGAUUUGGCGGCCUGGAAAGAGAGGCAGGCACCGCUACAUGCGCACGCACAAAUGAGCUGCGUGCAUGCACAAAAAUGAGCCCCGUGCACACACGCACACAUGGACUGUGCAUGAGUGCAUGUGCACACACAAAUGGCUUCACAUGAGCGCAUGCGAACACACAAAUGGCCACACACAAGCACAUGUGCACAAGUAAAUGGGGCUGCUCGGUGGUGGGGCAGCACUAAUGCUGGCAGGAUGCUAGGGGUGGCGCUAGCACCGGUGGGAUGCUUGGGGCAGAGUGAUACCAGCGCCAGCGGGAUGCUUGGGACAGCACUUCAUGCGGCCCAGUGGCCAAGUGGCCAUGGCCCGGUAGUGGGCCAUGGCCCACAGGUUGGGGACCCCUGCUGUACUGUAUUAACCAAUGAGCGUAGAGUCCCCACAAGCCAUGAAUCUCAACUGAAUUAAGCUGGAAAGCUGGAAAUCCAGGAGACUCUCUGAGCAGCAGUCUGUGAGAGCUUCUCUGCCCCGACACCUGGCACUGCACCCAGCUUUGCAAUGACCUGAUUGGCUAACAGAACAAGUCUAUCUGGACUCAUUUCAAUUUGAUUCAUAACUUAAUCCUAAUAAAUAUUGCAUGACAAAUCAUGAUAUGCAAUUACUUCUGAAUGCGUCAGAACCACUUGAUAUUGCAUUGUGUUAACCAAUGAGCGUAGAGUCCUCACAAGCCAUGAAUCUGAACCGAACAAAUCUGGAAAGCUGGCUGGGAAUUCUGGGAGUUGACGUUCCCACAUCUCAAAGCCGCCAAGUUGGAGGAACACCGAUUUAGAGUCUCCCCAACUCCACCUGGCUGUGGGCAGCUGAUUUUCCCCAACAGAAUAAUGAAAAUAAAAAAGAAAGAAACUGAGCAUGAGCAUAGAGGAGACCUCUGAACAUACAGCAAUCCGUGAGGGCUUCUCUGCCACCCUGCCCCGACACCUGGCAUUGCACCCAGUUUUGCAAUGAUCUGACUGGCGUACAGAAGAAGUCUACCUGGACUCAUUUCAAUUUGAUUCAUAAUUUAUUCCUAAUAAAUGUUGCUAGACAAA